CCUACGGGAGGCAGCAGUGGGGAAUUUUCCGCAAUGGGCGAAAGCCUGACGGAGCAAGACCGCGUGGGGGAAGAAGGCUCUUGGGUUGUAAACCCCUUUUCUCUGGGAAGAACAAAAUGACGGUACCAGAGGAAUCAGCAUCGGCUAACUCCGUGCCAGCAGCCGCGGUAAGACGGAGGAUGCAAGCGUUAUCCGGAAUGAUUGGGCGUAAAGCGUCCGCAGGUGGCAGUUCAAGUCUGCUGUCAAAGACCGGGGCUUAACCUCGGAAAGGCAGUGGAAACUGAACAGCUAGAGUAUGGUAGGGGCAAAGGGAAUUCCUGGUGUAGCGGUGAAAUGCGUAGAGAUCAGGAAGAACAUCGGUGGCGAAGGCGCUUUGCUGGACCAUAACUGACACUCAGGGACGAAAGCUAGGGGAGCGAAUGGGAUUAGAUACCCCAGUAGUCCUAGCCGUAAACGAUGGAUACUAGGUGUUGUCUGUAUCGACCCGGACAGUGCCGUAGCUAACGCGUUAAGUAUCCCGCCUGGGGAGUACGCNCGCAGUGAGAACUCAAAUGAAUUGUAACGGUCGUGUUAGACGUGCCGACGGACGACGACGAGGGAGGAGG
rnacentral:rRNA from 1 species